rnacentral:rRNA from 1 species
CCUACGGGAGGCAGCAGUGGGGAAUCUUGCGCAAUGGGCGAAAGCCUGACGCAGCCAUGCCGCGUGAAUGAUGAAGGUCUUAGGAUUGUAAAGUUCUUUCGCUCGUGACGAUGAUGACGGUAACGAGAGAAGAAGCCCCGGCUAACUUCGUGCCAGCAGCCGCGGUAAUACGAAGGGGGCUAGCGUUGUUCGGAAUUACUGGGCGUAAAGCGCGCGUAGGCGGUUUUGCAAGCCAGAGGUGAAAUGCCUGAGCUCAACUUAGGAAUUGCCUUUGGGACUGCGAGGCUUUGAGGACUGGAGAGGUGAGUGGAAUUCCCAGUGUAGAGGUGAAAUUCGUAGAUAUUGGGAAGAACACCAGUGGCGAAGGCGGCUCACUGGCCAGUUUCUGACGCUGCAGCGCGAAAGCGUGGGGAUCAAACAGGAUUAGAUACCCUGGUAGUCCACGCUGUAAACGAUGAGUGCUAGGCGUCGGCACGCUUGCGUGUCGGUGCCGCAGCUAACGCGUGAAGCACUCCGCCUGGGGAGUACGGUCGCAAGAUUAAAACUCAAAGGAAUUGACGG